AGUAGGCAGCUUCAGUCCUGGUAUGGGCUGUAGCAAGUACUGCUGCUGCUGUCCAUCCCUUCUGCCCACAGGGCAGAAGAAAAUGGAAAACAAAGACAAACAAACCAAAGAAGGCGGAUGAAGUAGAAGCCAUUCAUUCUUUCCAUGAACAUUGACCCUAUAUCCUGAAGGUGGAUCCAAUGAAAAAAGAGAAGCAGCAAGAGUGGCUUCUGUUUCCCUGGCUGGACUCUGAGUAAUAUAGCAGCAAUAAUUUCCCAAGGGAAAGGAGGAAGACGGGUUGGCUCCAAUGAAGACACUUAUGAUGUGAAGAGUUCCCGUAACAGUUCACCAUCUCUGGGGCAGUUAUACAACAGGGAUCCCUGACUUCUUCAGAACCGAGAGUUCAAAUCAGGACUAUCUGGUGAUGAAUCUAUCCACUAGAAGCUGAUAUGAAGAGUCAGGUCACUAGAAAACAGAAUAUCAUGUGAUUGUGUUUGACUGCACAACUGGUCUCUAUCAAUAUCUAUGCCUGAAGAGGAAGAAUGUUUGCCUAGUAAGGCCAUUAAUAUUGGCAAAUCUUGCAUAGACA
rnacentral:lncRNA from 10 species